GAUGAAGAACGUAGCGAAAUGCGAUAAGUAAUGUGAAUUGCAGAAUUCAGUGAAUCAUCGAAUCUUUGAACGCACCUUGCGCCUUUUGGUAUUCCGAAAGGCACACCUGUUUGAGCGUCAUGAAUACCUCAAUCUCCAUCUUUUCUUCGGAUUGAUGGGUGACUUGGAUGUUGAGCCCUGCUGGUAUGCUAUAUCAGCUGGCUUUAAACUUAUUAGCCGGCUCUGUACUGGAUCGGUUUGACUCGACGUGAUAAUAUUAUCGUUGAGGAUGCAUGUCUCAUGCAGCAGGAAAGUAUCAAAGCAGCUUCUAGCUUGCCUUUAGUGCACUUUUACAUUUUAGACCUCAGAUCAGGUGGGACUACCCGCUGAACUUAAGCAUAUCAUAACGGAGGA
rnacentral:misc_RNA from 1 species